AUGGGCUCCACGCUCUUCUGCUGUAUGGUCCUCUGCCUCCUGGGAGCAGCCCCCCUGGACACGGCAGUUUCCCAGACUCCAAAACACCUCAUCGCACAGACGGGAAAUAAGAAGUUCCUAAAAUGUGAACAAAAGCUGGGCCACGAUACCAUGUACUGGUAUAAGCAGGACUCCCAGAAAUUGCUGAAGGUCAUGUUUAUCUACAACAAUAAGGAUCUCAUUCUAAAUGAAACAGUUCCAAGAUGCUUCUUACCUGAAUCCCCUGACAAAACUCGUUUAAACCUUCACAUCAACUUCCUGGAGACAGGUGACACUGCUGUGUAUUUCUGUGCCAGCAGCCAGAAUCCAUCCCAGGGUCAGCUUGCCCUGGUUGGGAGUCAGCCUGCUGUAAUCUGA